UACGUAGGGUGCAAGCGUUGUCCGGAAUUAUUGGGCGUAAAGAGCUCGUAGGCGGCUCAGCAAGUCGGCUGUGAAAUCCCGAGGCUCAACCUCGGAACUGCAGUCGAUACUGUCGUGGCUAGAGUCUGGUAGAGGAGAAUGGAAUUCCCGGUGUAGCGGUGAAAUGCGCAGAUAUCGGGAGGAACACCAGUAGCGAAGGCGGUUCUCUGGGCCCCGACUGACGCUGAGGUACGAAAGCAUGGGGAGCAAACAGG
rnacentral:misc_RNA from 1 species